UACGGGGGGGGCAAGCGUUGUUCGGAAUUACUGGGCGUAAAGGGCGCGUAGGCGGUUUGUUAAGUUGGAUGUGAAAACUCUGGGCUUAACCCAGAGCCUGCAUCCAAAACUAGCAGACUAGAGUUCUGGAGGGGAUAGCGGAAUUCCUGGUGUAGCGGUGAAAUGCGUAGAUAUCAGGAGGAACACCGGUGGCGAAGGCGGCUAUCUGGACAGAGUCUGACGCUGAGGCGCGAAAGCUAGGGGAGCAAACGGG
rnacentral:rRNA from 1 species